UACGAAGGGGGCGAGCGUUGUUCGGAGUUACUGGGCGUAAAGGGCGCGUAGGCGGCGCUCCAAGUUAGGCGUGAAAUCCCUCAGCUCAACUGGGGAACUGCGUCUGAGACUGGCGGGCUUGAGUGCAGGAGAGGAACGCGGAAUUCCAGGUGUAGCGGUGAAAUGCGUAGAUAUCUGGAGGAACACCGGUGGCGAAGGCGGCGUUCUGGACUGUUACUGACACUGAGGAACGAAAGCCAGGGGAGCAAACGGG
rnacentral:rRNA from 1 species